rnacentral:misc_RNA from 1 species
AAGUCGUAACAAGGUAACCGUAGGUGAACCUGCGGUUGGAUCAUUAAAAAAUGAUGGUUUUGUAGCUUGAGCUGCUUUCGAGUGGCUCGCUUCAAAACUUAUUCACCCUUGUGCAUCGUAAUGUUUUUUGGGUCGGUUUUACGACUGGCCCAGCAUUUUAUAAACACCUUUUAAUUUUGACUGAAUUUUUUUGAAAAUAAAAAAUAACAACUUUUGACAACGGAUCUCUUGGCUCUC